AUUGAACGCUGGCGGCAUGCCUUACACAUGCAAGUCGAACGGUAACAGGUCUUCGGAUGCUGACGAGUGGCGAACGGGUGAGUAAUACAUCGGAACGUGCCUAGUAGUGGGGGAUAACUACUCGAAAGAGUGGCUAAUACCGCAUGAGAUCUACGGAUGAAAGCAGGGGAUCGCAAGACCUUGUGCUACUAGAGCGGCCGAUGGCAGAUUAGGUAGUUGGUGGGAUAAAAGCUUACCAAGCCGACGAUCUGUAGCUGGUCUGAGAGGACGAUCAGCCGCAGUGGGACUGAGACACGGCCCAGACUCCUACGGGAGGCAGCAGUGGGGAAUUUUGGCCAAUGGGCGAAAGCCUGAUCCAGCAAUGCCGCGUGCAGGAUGAAGGCCUUCGGGUUGUAAACUGCUUUUGUACGGAACGAAAAGCCCCGGGUUAAUACCCUGGGGUCAUGACGGUACCGUAAGAAUAAGCACCGGCUAACUACGUGCCAGCAGCCGCCGUAA
rnacentral:rRNA from 1 species